CAUCUGAGUUAAUUUUAACAAACACCUUAAUUUAUAAAGAGCUAUAAAUACAAUUCCAUCAGUGGAGGUAGCGAUGAUAUCUGAAGAGAGAUGCUGUGGUGAGAAUUGGUAUUCUGACCUUCACUGGACACCUCCAGAACCCCAAAGAGUCUUUUCUUCAUAAGCCAAAUCCUAGAAGCCAUGUCCUCUAUAACAGCAGAAGUGCAGCAGGCCAAGAUGAUAGAAACUGAAGAAGCAUGUUGAAUGCCACAUGCCCUGGCUUUUGCUGCUAGGAAACUGGGAACAGCAGGAAGCCAUGUUGCAUCACAUUCACACUUGAAACAAAACAGGAAGAAGUUCUACCGCCUCGAAGCACGUAUAAACAAGCAGAGACAACUCUUCUACUCUCUUCAGUGUCCUGCGUCUAUACAACCCAAGACAAUGGCUCCCCUCGGAGUACUGUGAGUCCUCUGUACUGAAUAAUGCCUCUUCAUUUUGGGAACUACCUGCUCCCCCAGGAGACCCAAGGCUCUCCAAGGUAUCACCUGUGGAAAAGGAUCAUUUUUGCCUGAGCAUAAUCAAAUGCAUAUGCAUGUACACAUACAUAUACAUGAG
rnacentral:lncRNA from 1 species